GUUUCCAAUCGUUCGUUUCUCAGGAUUAUUUGUCCAUUCAGCUUUAGCAGUGACGAUCAAAGAUUCUGACCUCAAAACAUAUAUACCUUUUUGAAAUUUUGCUUGUUUAAAAAUGGUGAGAAGUUUUUUCAAAUAAUAUUGAAUGAUACAGAUCGGCAGAAUGGUAAAAUCAUGCAAUAAACGUAUAUAUUUCAUCUAUGUGAUUAUUUUUGAAAUUGAUUUACCUAUUUUUUGAAUUCUAUAGAACCCGUACGGAAAUGGUUUAUAUAUGGUACGCAUGAUGCCCAAAUCAAAGCUUUUUCAGUUCCUUAAAUAACGUUUAUUUGCCAGUAAACUUCCUUAUUUGAGGGAAAUGCGAACAGAAAUCUCGUAGACUUAUUGCAUUUUCUAUUCGAUAUGACUUGGGUUUUGUUGGGAUCUACCGCUAAUGAUGUUUUAUUUUAUCGAUUUGCUGAUUAGGCAGAUUAGGAAAAUUAAUAAAAAACCAAAGCUGAUAAACGUCAGUUUUACCUUGACUCUCGGUAUAUGAUUUAGCGAUUUAUUAAUUUAGGACUAAAGUUUCCAGCUACGCUGUUUGGUGUCUAUUUGGGAUCCAAGUCGCUGUUUAAUAGGUGAAUUGAUGAGUUGAAAGUUUCGGGCUUGUCAUCGCUAUUGGUAUCGAAUAUAUAACAGUCAGUGGUAU